GUCCCUCACAGGUCAGAGAACACUUAAGCAGAAGCCUUACUGGUUAAGGGUACAACCACAAGGUGGUAGUAGACCUCAGCUGCUGCAGAGUAUGAAGAGGACUCACUUCCUGGAUGCUGAUUGUGCAGGCUUAGGGCAGAAGCACAACCUUUUUCUCAGUGGCUGAGUGGAUGACUCAAGAGGUAGAAUUGUUACUGAGAGAGAACAACACCCUGGUAGCUGUAGCUGACCUGCUAGUCAUCACAAUCUACACCCGAUCUUAAUUUAAUUGGAAGGACAAUGAAGACAUUUGUUCCUACUUUAUUCAUGUUCUUGUGGCUGCAGCUCGAUGGGGUGAUCCAAGGUGAGCAGGUGGAGCAGCAUCCUUCCACUCUUAGAGUCCAGGAGGGAGCCAGCGCUGUCAUCAACUGCACUUACACAGACAGUGCCUCAUCCUAUUUCCCUUGGUAUAAGCAAGAACCCGGAGAGCAUCCUCAGCUCAUUAUUGACAUUCGUUCAACUGUGGAAAGAAAACAGGAGCAAAGACUGAUCGUUUUACAGGAUAAGAAAGCCAAACACUUCUCCCUGCACAUCAUAGACACCCGGCCUGGAGACUCUGCCAUGUACUUCUGUGCUGCAAGUGCACACUGCUCCACAGGCACCUGCAGCCUGUCCUCAAACCUGCCAUGGGGCCUGGAGCCCCAUCCACAUCCUGUGUCACAGGCCCUCAAUGCGACAUGUGCCAGUUUUUAG